rnacentral:rRNA from 1 species
AACAAGUUACUAAGGGCACACGGUGGAUGCCUUGGUGCCAGAAGGCGAUGAAGGACGUGAUAAGCUGCGAUAAGCCUCGGAUAGCGGCACUUACGCUAUAACCCGGGGAUCUCCGAAUGGGGUAACCUGUAUUCCGUCAUAGGAAUACGUCCCUCCCUGAAUAUAUAGGGGAGGGUACGCGAACCCGGUGAAGUGAAACAUCUCAGUAACCGGAGGAAAAGAAAGCGAAUGCGAUUCCGUAAGUAGUGGCGAGCGAAAGCGGAACAGCCCAAACCGGUGGCUUUGCCACCGGGGUUGUAGGGCUCCGAUAUGGUAUCUGGAACGUUAGAGUGUUAAGGUGGCUGGAAAGCCCCCCCAUAGAAGGUGAAAGGCCUGUGCUUUAAAACGUGAAGGAGCCUAGGAUGUCCCUGAGUAAUACGGAACACGUGAAACUCCGUAUGAAUCUGCGCCGACCAUGGCGUAAGGCUAAAUACUAACUGGCGACCGAUAGUGAACAAGUACCGUGAGGGAAAGGUGAAAAGUACCGCUGUGAGCGGAGUGAAAUAGAACCUGAAACCGUGUGCCUACAAGGUGUGGGAGCCCCCUAGGGGGUGACCGCGUGCCUUUUGCUUAAUGAGUCUACGAGUUAGUGUCUGUGGCAAGCUUAAGCACUUUUGGUGCGUAGGCGUAGCGAAAGCGAGUCCGAAUAGGGCGACCAUAGUCGCAGGCGCUAGACCCGAAACGGAGGUGACCUACCCAUGGCCAGGGUGAAGCUGGGGUAACACACAAUGGAGGCCCGAACCCACUAAGGUUGAAAACUUAGGGGAUGAGCUGUGGGUCGGAGUGAAAGGCUAAACAAACUCGGCAAUAGCUGGUUCUCCCCGAAAUAGCUUUAGGGCUAGCCUCUGAUGUUUAUUUAUGGUGGUAGAG